UGUAACCGCUCGCGUAGCAAAGCCUUAGAAGUGGUCCGAAGCAAUCCAGCUCAAAGCGCUUCGUAACUCAAUCUGGAUUAAUUGAGCGUUACCUCACGUAACGCAUCAAAAUUAGUCCGACUGUUAUUCUAGCACGGACAGAAACCAAGCCACGCGAACCGUUUGCUUUUAUUUUUGAGCACAGAAAUGCUACUCUCAGAAUUCUCUCAAAUGAAUUAACUGGAUUAACCAAUCAGGAGGCGACACACUUUGGCGCAAUCCUUUCCAGAGGUCUACUGAAACCUCAAAGGCAGGCACACGAUCAUUCCAAAAUCGACCCUAUAGUGAGUGAGUUCAAACAAUAGAGAAUAUUCCAAAUCUAAAAUUCAAUUGUGCGGUGUGAUAGUUAAAUUGCAACGUGGCACAGUGAGUGCAUUUGCAAAGAUAAAAUAUAAGCCAACUAAAAAGUGAGCUUUAAUAGUACAGGCCAAAACCUUCGAACGAAGGUUUUUAUUACGGGCAGGUCCAAAUCGGAAGUGGCCACGAGAAAAGACGGCACUCCCGUCGAACAAGCCGCCGCCUCGUGGGCGUUGGUCCCAAGCUCCAUUUUGGACCACGCUCCCCAUUCCACCCCAUUGUUGGGGGAACAAUACCGGUGCGUCGCCACAUGCUUCGUAGGGGUCCCAGCAAACACCCUGAGUAAGUGAAGCCUAUCAUUCGCACGUUUCUCGAAUCGCCUGCAAUUUUCCGCUAGACGUGACUGGCCCUACGCGAUCCUUCACCGGCGCCGUCGCGCUAGCCCCGCUGCAACCAGGUGUGCAGUGAGACGUGUGAAGACCAGCGUUCAUCCGAUCUCGUGGUUCCGCUGACCACAGCCAGUCCGUUCACAAUCGAACGGCUUACAGU